GGGUUGUGAGGUUAAGCGACUAAGCGUACACGGUGGAUGCCCUGGCAGUCAGAGGCGAUGAAGGACGUGCUAAUCUGCGAUAAGCGUCGGUAAGGUGAUAUGAACCGUUAUAACCGGCGAUUUCCGAAUGGGGAAACCCAGUGUGAUUCGUCACACUAUCAUUAACUGAAUCCAUAGGUUAAUGAGGCGAACCGGGGGAACUGAAACAUCUAAGUACCCCGAGGAAAAGAAAUCAACCGAGAUUCCCCCAGUAGCGGCGAGCGAACGGGGAGCAGCCCAGAGCCUGAAUCAGUGUGUGUGUUAGUGGAAGCGUCUGGAAAGGCGUGCGAUACAGGGUGACAGCCCCGUACACAAAAAUGCACAUGCUGUGAGCUCGAUGAGUAGGGCGGGACACGUGGUAUCCUGUCUGAAUAUGGGGGGACCAUCCUCCAAGGCUAAAUACUCCUGACUGACCGAUAGUGAACCAGUACCGUGAGGGAAAGGCGAAAAGAACCCCGGCGAGGGGAGUGAAAAAGAACCUGAAACCGUGUACGUACAAGCAGUGGGAGCACGCUUAGGCGUGUGACUGCGUACCUUUUGUAUAAUGGGUCAGCGACUUAUAUUCUGUAGCAAGGUUAACCGAAUAGGGGAGCCGAAGGGAAACCGAGUCUUAACUGGGCGUUAAGUUGCAGGGUAUAGACCCGAAACCCGGUGAUCUAGCCAUGGGCAGGUUGAAGGUUGGGUAACACUAACUGGAGGACCGAACCGACUAAUGUUGAAAAAUUAGCGGAUGACUUGUGGCUGGGGGUGAAAGGCCAAUCAAACCGGGAGAUAGCUGGUUCUCCCCGAAAGCUAUUUAGGUAGCGCCUCGUGAAUUCAUCUCCGGGGGUAGAGCACUGUUUCGGCAAGGGGGUCAUCCCGACUUACCAACCCGAUGCAAACUGCGAAUACCGGAGAAUGUUAUCACGGGAGACACACGGCGGGUGCUAACGUCCGUCGUGAAGAGGGAAACAACCCAGACCGCCAGCUAAGGUCCCAAAGUCAUGGUUAAGUGGGAAACGAUGUGGGAAGGCCCAGACAGCCAGGAUGUUGGCUUAGAAGCAGCCAUCAUUUAAAGAAAGCGUAAUAGCUCACUGGUCGAGUCGGCCUGCGCGGAAGAUGUAACGGGGCUAAACCAUGCACCGAAGCUGCGGCAGCGACGCUGAUGCGUUGUUGGGUAGGGGAGCGUUCUGUAAGCCUGUGAAGGUGUACUGUGAGGUAUGCUGGAGGUAUCAGAAGUGCGAAUGCUGACAUAAGUAACGAUAAAGCGGGUGAAAAGCCCGCUCGCCGGAAGACCAAGGGUUCCUGUCCAACGUUAAUCGGGGCAGGGUGAGUCGACCCCUAAGGCGAGGCCGAAAGGCGUAGUCGAUGGGAAACAGGUUAAUAUUCCUGUACUUGGUGUUACUGCGAAGGGGGGACGGAGAAGGCUAUGUUGGCCGGGCGACGGUUGUCCCGGUUUAAGCGUGUAGGCUGGUUUUCCAGGCAAAUCCGGAAAAUCAAGGCUGAGGCGUGAUGACGAGGCACUACGGUGCUGAAGCAACAAAUGCCCUGCUUCCAGGAAAAGCCUCUAAGCAUCAGGUAACAUCAAAUCGUACCCCAAACCGACACAGGUGGUCAGGUAGAGAAUACCAAGGCGCUUGAGAGAACUCGGGUGAAGGAACUAGGCAAAAUGGUGCCGUAACUUCGGGAGAAGGCACGCUGAUAUGUAGGUGAAGCGACUUGCUCGUGGAGCUGAAAUCAGUCGAAGAUACCAGCUGGCUGCAACUGUUUAUUAAAAACACAGCACUGUGCAAACACGAAAGUGGACGUAUACGGUGUGACGCCUGCCCGGUGCCGGAAGGUUAAUUGAUGGGGUCAGCGCAAGCGAAGCUCUUGAUCGAAGCCCCGGUAAACGGCGGCCGUAACUAUAACGGUCCUAAGGUAGCGAAAUUCCUUGUCGGGUAAGUUCCGACCUGCACGAAUGGCGUAAUGAUGGCCAGGCUGUCUCCACCCGAGACUCAGUGAAAUUGAACUCGCUGUGAAGAUGCAGUGUACCCGCGGCAAGACGGAAAGACCCCGUGAACCUUUACUAUAGCUUGACACUGAACAUUGAGCCUUGAUGUGUAGGAUAGGUGGGAGGCUUUGAAGUGUGGACGCCAGUCUGCAUGGAGCCGACCUUGAAAUACCACCCUUUAAUGUUUGAUGUUCUAACGUUGACCCGUAAUCCGGGUUGCGGACAGUGUCUGGUGGGUAGUUUGACUGGGGCGGUCUCCUCCUAAAGAGUAACGGAGGAGCACGAAGGUUGGCUAAUCCUGGUCGGACAUCAGGAGGUUAGUGCAAUGGCAUAAGCCAGCUUGACUGCGAGCGUGACGGCGCGAGCAGGUGCGAAAGCAGGUCAUAGUGAUCCGGUGGUUCUGAAUGGAAGGGCCAUCGCUCAACGGAUAAAAGGUACUCCGGGGAUAACAGGCUGAUACCGCCCAAGAGUUCAUAUCGACGGCGGUGUUUGGCACCUCGAUGUCGGCUCAUCACAUCCUGGGGCUGAAGUAGGUCCCAAGGGUAUGGCUGUUCGCCAUUUAAAGUGGUACGCGAGCUGGGUUUAGAACGUCGUGAGACAGUUCGGUCCCUAUCUGCCGUGGGCGCUGGAGAACUGAGGGGGGCUGCUCCUAGUACGAGAGGACCGGAGUGGACGCAUCACUGGUGUUCGGGUUGUCAUGCCAAUGGCACUGCCCGGUAGCUAAAUGCGGAAGAGAUAAGUGCUGAAAGCAUCUAAGCACGAAACUUGCCCCGAGAUGAGUUCUCCCUGACUCCUUGAGAGUCCUGAAGGAACGUUGAAGACGACGACGUUGAUAGGCCGGAUGUGUAAGCGCAGCGAUGCGUUGAGCUAACCGGUACUAAUGAACCGUGAGGCUUAACCUUACAACGCCGAAGGUGUUU
rnacentral:rRNA from 1 species